rnacentral:rRNA from 1 species
AUUGAACGCUGGCGGCAGGCCUAACACAUGCAAGUCGAACGGUAACAGAAAGCAGCUUGCUGCUUUGCUGACGAGUGGCGGACGUGUGAGUAAUGUCUGUGAAACUUCCUGAUGGAGGGGGAUAACUACUGGAAACGGUAGCUAAUACCGCAUAACGUCGCAAGACCAAAGAGGGGGACCUUCGGGCCUCUUGCCAUCGGAUGUGCCCAGAUGGGAUUAGCUAGUAGGUGGGGUAACGGCUCACCUAGGCGACGAUCCCUAGCUGGUCUGAGAGGAUGACCAGCCACACUGGAACUGAGACACGGUCCAGACUCCUACGGGAGGCAGCAGUGGGGAAUAUUGCACAAUGGGCGCAAGCCUGAUGCAGCCAUGCCGCGUGUAUGAAGAAGGCCUUCGGGUUGUAAAGUACUUUCAGCGGGGAGGAAGGGAGUAAAGUUAAUACCUUUGCUCAUUGACGUUACCAGCAGAAGAAGCACCGGCUAACUCCGUG